GAUGAACGCUGGCGGCGUGCCUAAUACAUGCAAGUCGAGCGAACAGACGAGGAGCUUGCUCCUCUGACGUUAGCGGCGGACGGGUGAGUAACACGUGGAUAACCUACCUAUAAGACUGGGAUAACUUCGGGAAACCGGAGCUAAUACCGGAUAAUAUAUUGAACCGCAUGGUUCAAUAGUGAAAGACGGUUUUGCUGUCACUUAUAGAUGGAUCCGCGCCGCAUUAGCUAGUUGGUAAGGUAACGGCUUACCAAGGCAACGAUGCGUAGCCGACCUGAUAGGGUGAUCGGCCACACUGGAACUGAGACACGGUCCAGACUCCUACGGGAGGCAGCAGUAGGGAAUCUUCCGCAAUGGGCGAAAGCUUGGCGGAGCAACGCCGCGUGAGUGAUGAAGGUCUUCGGAUCGUAAAACUCUGUUAUUAGGGAAGAACAAAUGUGUAAGUAACUAUGCACGUCUUGACGGUACCUAAUCAGAAAGCCACGGCUAACUACGUG
rnacentral:rRNA from 1 species